GGAAUAUUGGACAAUGGGCGAAAGCCUGAUCCAGCAAUGCCGCGUGAGUGAUGAAGGCCUUAGGGUUGUAAAGCUCUUUUACCCGGGAUGAUAAUGACUGUACCGGGAGAAUGAGCCCCGGCUAACUCCGUGCCAGCAGCCGCGGUAACACGGAGGGGGCUAGCGUUGUUCGGAAUUACUGGGCGUAAAGCGCACGUAGGUGGCGACGUAAGUCGGGUGUGAAAGCCCCGGGCUCAACCUGGGAGUUGCAUUCGAGACUGCAUUGCUGGAGUACGGAAGAGGAGGGCGGAAUUCCCGGUGUAGCGGUGAAAUGCGUAGAUAUCGGGAGGAACAUCAGUGGCGAAGGCGGCCCUCUGAUCCAGUACUGACACUCAAGUGCGAAAGCGUGGGGAGCAAAC
rnacentral:rRNA from 1 species